rnacentral:rRNA from 1 species
UACGUAGGGGGGCAAGCGUUUGUCCGGAUUUAUUGGGCGUAAAGAGCGUGUAGGCGGCUUUACAGGUCCGUUGUGAAAACUCGAGGCUCAACCUCGAGACGCCGGUGGAAACCGUAUGGCUAGAGUCCGGAAGAGGAGAGUGGAAUUCCUGGUGUAGCGGUGAAAUGCGCAGAUAUCAGGAAGAACACCAAUGGCGAAGGCAGCUCUCUGGGACGGUACUGACGCUGAGACGCGAAAGCGUGGGGAGCGAACAGG